GCCUAACAUCUAGCCCACAUCAUUCGCAUGACUACCUCUCCCUCCCACCUUUAAACAAAACA
rnacentral:rRNA from 1 species